rnacentral:piRNA from 1 species
UGUACCUCCACCUCCUCUGGCUAUAGCCAGCU